rnacentral:lncRNA from 1 species
GGCCAUGUGAGGACACAGAGAAAGCACCAUCUGUGAGAAACAGGGCCUCCACUAUAUACUGAACUUGCCACCACCUUGACCUGGGACUUCCCAGUUUCCAGAACUGUGAGAAAUAAAUUUUUUAUGAUUUACCCAGUCUAAGAUAUUUUGUGACAGCAGCAGGAAUGGACUAACAUACUGGGUCUAGCAAAGAGUUCUCAAGAGAUGGGGCCUGGAUGUGUUGCUUAGGCUGUGUGAAACACCUGGUCUUAAGCGAUCCUCUCACCCUGGCCUCCCAAAGCAUUGGGAUUACAGGGAGAAAAGAAUGGGAACUGUGAGGAAAAGAAUGACAUGAACAAUGGGAAGACCAAGGUCCCAGCACAAGUAGUAGAUGCUGAGGAAAGAAGAAGUAUGUUGUGGAGUAAGUGAGUGGGCCUGAGUUGAGAAGAUCCUGGCCUUGGAUUUUAAAACUGUCAGGAAUUGCAUAAAUUCGCUAGAAUCAGAAGUCAGUUGUCCUGAUCUCAGAACAAUUUGGUGUGUACAAAGUCCAAGGUUUGAAAACUCAUCAAGAAGUCAGCAUCCUGCAAGAAUCAGCCACCCAUGCCACACUUUCUAUAGUAACUUCUGUUCUGCAUCAGACUACAUCACUCUGGCUUUCUGAGGGCACUAUUCCAGGCCAGUGCUCUGGGAGGAAUUACCCAGAAUCCCUGUAGAAGCCACUACUGAUGUCAGCUACAAGAGGAAGGGAACCCAAGUGGACUUCAGCCAGAACAAAGCUCUGUCACAUGUUGGAAUUUUACUGAACUUGAACAAAUUAUUCUUCAGAAAAAGUAUUUUAAAGUCAAAAGACUCCUAGAUGAUUUCUAGGUCUUUUGCAGCAUUAACUUCCUUUGAAUCAAUGCCUUCAAUGAUUAUUUAAAA